AGUUCGAUUAUGGCUCAGAUUGAACGCUGGCGGGAUGCUUUACACAUGCAAGUCGAACGGCAGCACGGACUUCGGUCUGGUGGCGAGUGCGAACGGUGAGUAAUGUAUCGGAACGUGCCUAGUAGCGGGGGAUAACUACGCGAAAGCGUAGCCAAUACCGUACGCCUUCGGGGAAAGGACCUUCGGGCCUCGCACUAUUAGAGCGGCCGAUAUCGGGAUUAAUAGUUGGUGGGGUAACGGCUCACCAAGGCGACGAUCCGUAGCUGGUUUGAGGGACGAGACCAGCCACACUGGGACCGAGACACGGCCCAGACUCCUACGGGAGGCAGCAGUGGGGAAUUUUGGACAAUGGGGAAACCCUGAUCCAGCCAUCCCGCGCAGGUGAUGAAGGCCUUUCGGGUUGUAAAGCACUUUUGGCAGGAAAGAAAACGGCACGGGAUAAUACCCCGCACUGACGGUACCUGCAGAAUAAGCACCGCCAACCAUGCGCCGUGCAGCUGCGGUAAUACGUAGGGUGCAAGCGUUAAUCGGAAUUACUGGGCGAAGCGUGCGCAGGCGGUUCGGAAAGAAAGAUGUGAAAUCCCAGAGCUUAACUUUGGAACUACAUUUUUAACUACCGAGCUAGAGUGUGUCAGAGGGAGGUGGAAUUCGGCGUAGCAGUGAAAUGCGUAGAUAUGCGGAGGAACACCGAUGGCGAAGGCAGCCUCCUGAUAACACUGACGCUCAUGCACGAAAGCGUGGGGAGCAAACAGGAUUAGGAUACCCUGGUAGUCCACGCCCUAAACGAUGUCAACUAGCUGUUGGGGCCUUCGGGCCCGGUAGCGCAGCUAACGCGUGAAGUUGACCGCCUGGGGAGUAAUGGUUUGCAAGAUUAAACCUAAAGGAAUUGACGGGGACCGCACAAGCGGUGGAUGAUGUGGAUUAAUUCGAUGCAACGCGAAAACCUUACCUACCCUUGACAUGUCUGGAACUCGAAGAGAUUUGGGAGUGCUUCCGCAAGAGAACCGAACACAGGUGCUGCAUGGUUGUCGUCAGUUCGUGUCGUGAGAUGUUGGGUUAAGUCCCGCAACGAGCGCAACCUUUUUGUCAUUAGUUGCUACGAAAGGGCACUCUAAUGGGAGACUGCCGGUGACAAACCGGAGGAAGGUGGGGAUGACGUCAAGUCCUCAUGGCCCUUAUGGGUAGGGCUUCACACGUCAUACAAUGGUCGGGACAGAGGGUCGCCAACCCGCGAGGGGGAGCCAAUUCUAGAACUCCGAUCGUAGUCCGAUCGUAGUCUGUAACUCGACUGCGUGAAGUCGGAAUCGCUAGUAAUCAGGAUCAGCAUGUCGCGGUGAAUACGUUCCUGGUCUUGUACACACCGCCCGUCACACCAUGGGAGUGGGUUUUACCAGAAGGUAGCUAGCCUAACCGUAAGGAGGGCGAUUACCACGGUAGGAUUCAUGACUGGGGUGAAGUCGUAACAAGGCA
rnacentral:rRNA from 1 species